GUGCUGCUUCAGCAACACAUAUAUUAAAAUUGGGAAUAUAGAAGAUUAGCAUGGCCCCUGAACAAAGAUGACAUGUAAAUUCUUGAAGGUGUUCCAUAUUUUU